rnacentral:rRNA from 1 species
UACGUAGGGGGCAAGCGUUAUCCGGAUUUACUGGGUGUAAAGGGAGCGCAGACGGAAAGCCAAGUCUGAUGUGAAAUGUCCGGGCUCAACCCGGGAACUGCAUUGGAAACUGGUUAUCUAGAGUGCAGGAGAGGUAAGUGGAAUUCCUAGUGUAGCGGUGAAAUGCGUAGAUAUUAGGAGGAACACCGGUGGCGAAGGCGGCUUACUGGACUGUAACUGACGUUGAGGCUCGAAAGCGUGGGGAGCAAAC